GAUGAACGCUGGCGGCGUGCCUAAUACAUGCAAGUCGAGCGAACGGACGAGAAGCUUGCUUCUCUGAUGUUAGCGGCGGACGGGUGAGUAACACGUGGAUAACCUACCUAUAAGACUGGGAUAACUUCGGGAAACCGUAGCUAAUACCGGAUAAUAUUUUGAACCGCAUGGUUCAAAAGUGAAAGACGGUCUUGCUGUCACUUAUAGAUGGAUCCGCGCUGCAUUAGCUAGUUGGUAAGGUAACGGCUUACCAAGGCAACGAUGCAUAGCCGACCUGAGAGGGUGAUCGGCCACACUGGAACUGAGACACGGUCCAGACUCCUACGGGAGGCAGCAGUAGGGAAUCUUCCGCAAUGGGCGAAAGCCUGACGGAGCAACGCCGCGUGAGUGAUGAAGGUCUUCGGAUCGUAAAACGCUGUUAUUAGGGAAGAACAUAUGUGUAAGUAACUGUGCACAUCUUGACGGUACCGAAUCAGAAAGCCACGGCUAACUACGU
rnacentral:rRNA from 1 species